GUCGCAACAGUAAUUGAACUUAGUACGAGAGGAACCGUUCAUUCGAUAUUUGGUAUUUGCGCCUGUCCGAUCGGGCAAUGGCGCGAAGCUAUCAUCUGCUGGAUUAUGGCUGAACGCCUCUAAGCCAGAAUCCGUGCU
rnacentral:ncRNA from 1 species